rnacentral:rRNA from 1 species
AAUGAACGCUGGCGGCACGCCUAACACAUGCAAGUCGAACGAAGGCUUCGGCCUUAGUGGCGCACGGGUGCGUAACGCGUGGGAAUCUACCCUUAGGUUCGGAAUAACAGUUGGAAACGACUGCUAAUACCGGAUGAUGACGUAAGUCCAAAGAUUUAUCGCCUUGGGAUGAGCCCGCGUAGGAUUAGCUAGUUGGUGUGGUAAAGGCGCACCAAGGCGACGAUCCUUAGCUGGUCUGAGAGGAUGAUCAGCCACACUGGGACUGAGACACGGCCCAGACUCCUACGGGAGGCAGCAGUGGGGAAUAUUGGACAAUGGGCGAAAGCCUGAUCCAGCAAUGCCGCGUGAGUGAUGAAGGCCUUAGGGUUGUAAAGCUCCUUUACCCGGGAUGAUAAUGACAGUACCGGGAGAAUAAGCUCCGGCUAACUCCGUG